rnacentral:piRNA from 1 species
UCCAAUUCUUUACAAGCAUCAUUGCUACAGCC